rnacentral:lncRNA from 1 species
UCCUCCUUUAUUUCCAAAAUUCCCAAUUUUUGGUUUUCUAUCAAUUUCAAUAUGAACAUACAUUUAGUAUGUUAUGAACAUUUAAGUAAGGAGCCUGUAAUUCAGUGGUUGUCGUUUGUUUAUGUGUUACAUAUUUGUUUUUCGUUCAUUUUUUGUAGAUAAAAAAGGCCGCUAGUUUUCUGGUUUGAAUUGUUUAACAUUGUCAGUUCAGGGCCUUUUAAAGCUGAGUAUGCCGUAUAGGCUUUGCUCGUUGUUAAAGGUCGUACG